GAUGAAGAACGUAGUGAAAUGCGAUAAGUAAUGUGAAUUGCAGAAUUCAGUGAAUCAUCGAAUCUUUGAACGCACCUUGCGCCCCUUGGUUAUUCCAAAGGGCAUGCCUGUUUGAGUAUCAUGAACACCUCAACUCUUGUGGUUUCCCACAAUGAGCUUGGACUGUGGAGGUUUUGUUGGCCCUGUGGUCAGCUCCUCUCAAAUGGAUCAGCUUACCGGUGUUUGGUGGCAUUACGGGUGUGAUAACUAUCUACGCACGUGGUCGUCUCCAAAUAACCUCCAGUGAUGGAGGUUCGCUGGAGCUUAUAAAUGUCUCUCCCCAGUGAAGACAGCCUUUGAACGUUCGAUCUCAAAUCAGGUAGGACUACCCGCUGAACUUAAGCAUAUCAAUAAGCGGAGGA
rnacentral:misc_RNA from 1 species